UGUCCAGUAGUGCCUUAGAGACAAACUAAGUUUGUUCUGGGUAUAAGCUUUUGUGUGCAUGCAUGUAAUCUUAUACCCAGAACAAACUUAGUUGUUCUCUAAGGUGCUACUGGACA